rnacentral:rRNA from 1 species
AGAGUUUGAUCCUGGCUCAGAUUGAACGCUGGCGGCAUGCCUUACACAUGCAAGUCGAACGGCAGCACGGGAGCAAUCCUGGUGGCGAGUGGCGAACGGGUGAGUAAUAUAUCGGAACGUGCCCAGUCGUGGGGGAUAACGCAGCGAAAGCUGUGCUAAUACCGCAUACGAUCUCUGGAUGAAAGCGGGGGACUCGCAAGAGCCUCGCGCGAUUGGAGCGGCCGAUAUCAGAUUAGCUAGUUGGCGGGGUAAAAGCCCACCAAGGCGACGAUCUGUAGCUGGUCUGAGAGGACGACCAGCCACACUGGAACUGAGACACGGUCCAGACUCCUACGGGAGGCAGCAGUGGGGAAUUUUGGACAAUGGGCGAAAGCCUGAUCCAGCAAUGCCGCGUGCAGGAUGAAGGCCUUCGGGUUGUAAACUGCUUUUGUACGGAACGAAACGGCUCCUUCUAAUACAAGGGGCUAAUGACGGUACCGUA